rnacentral:rRNA from 1 species
GACGAACGCUGGCGGCGUGCUUAACACAUGCAAGUCGAACGGUAAGGCCCUUCGGGGUACACGAGUGGCGAACGGGUGAGUAACACGUGGGUGAUCUGCCCUGCACUUUGGGAUAAGCCUGGGAAACUGGGUCUAAUACCGGAUAGGACCAUGGACUUCACGGUUUGUGGUGGAAAGCUUUUGCGGUGUGGGAUGGGCCCGCGGCCUAUCAGCUUGUUGGUGGGGUAAUGGCCUACCAAGGCGACGACGGGUAGCCGGCCUGAGAGGGUGUCCGGCCACACUGGGACUGAGAUACGGCCCAGACUCCUACGGGAGGCAGCAGUGGGGAAUAUUGCACAAUGGGCGCAAGCCUGAUGCAGCGACGCCGCGUGGGGGAUGACGGCCUUCGGGUUGUAAACCUCUUUCAGUAGGGACGAAGCGCAAGUGACGGUACCUACAGAAGAAGCACCGGCCAACUACGUGCCAGCCGCCGCCGUAA